AUCCGGAUGGCUCAGUUGGUAGAGCAUCAGACUUUUAAUCUGAGGGUCCAGGGUUCAAGUCCCUGCUCGGGCA
rnacentral:tRNA from 1 species